ACAUUGCUAUCGACGUUGCCUGAGGCGUGUUCGGCAGAGCGGGUCGCCAAAAUCCCUCAUACCCGCAACACAAUGGCGAGCGCUCGAUCUGAUGAACUAGCCUCAAACUGGAAUCAUUUACUAUAUUAUAGAUCUUGAACCUAAGGUCAAGAUAUAUAGUAAAUAAAACAUGUAAAAAACAAAAUGAAGAUGUGACAGUGUAAUAGUGUUUUGUGAAGGUGAACUUGACUGUGCAAAAUUCUGUUUCGUGAAAAUUUGACAGUGCAAAAGUGUAUUGCAUAAAGAUGUGUCAGUUCUGUAGCGCGUGUGUGAGGAUAUAACAGUGCGAUAGAGUGUUAAAAGUUAGACAUAACAGUGCGACAGUAUGUUAACUCUAUGUAGAUGUUGACAGUGUGGUGGCUUAUAUUGCAUGAAGCCGCAUUGGCGGAUCCAGAGGGGGGGGUUCCGGCGGUCGGAACCCCCCCCUUUCUCUGGGACAUAUCAAUUUUUUUUAAAAUGUUUAAUGCCUAUUUAAAGGCAAUUUUUUCCAUUUAUAAUAGAAAUACUAUAAUUAUCUCAAAUAAAUGCUUUUAAAAUUGCUUAUUU
rnacentral:sRNA from 1 species